CCCUUGGUCAUGCAAAGGGUUAAUGCAUUUGACUGCUAAUCAAAAGACUGGAGGUCUGAGUCCACCCAGAGGCA
rnacentral:tRNA from 1 species